rnacentral:rRNA from 1 species
AUGAACGGGCGGGUGACCCUGGAUCAGGGUUGGGCCACCUACGCAGCCGUUCAUCAGAUCAAGAUCGGCUACAUGGUGACGUUCAAGCUCCUCACUCCCGACACCCUCAAGGUCAUCAUCUUCGACGACGAUGGCAUUGAGGUCGUCAACAAGUGCGGGAAGCACGACGACGCCUUCGCCGCCAAGGAGUAG